AGUCAAACCAGCCCUAAUUUCUUCCCCCUCUCUCGCUCUCCCACCACCGUUCUCACUCUCCCCACCACCGCUCACUCUCCCCGCUCAGUGCAUUACUUUGAACAAAUUAAACGUGUGAAAAUGGAGAAUGCAAAGAGUAUGGGUUCGUAUAGUGACGGAGUAGACGCUGUGUACCGGCCGCUGCCACCACUCUACUUGGCUUUUAUGGUCAUUUAGUUCUUCUCUGCAUUUUCUUGGGCUUUGAAUACCUACAAUUAUCGCCAUUUUCAGGCAAAUAGAUUGCAGUGGGCGCUUGCCUCUGUUCCAUUGAUUAAAGCCUUGCAACACGCUUUAUCUUUCCUUUUCUGGAAUUCGUGUUUUUACACGCACGUAUGCUCUUUAUGAACGUCUUUGGAAGCCUAUGUUAUUGGAGUGCUAUUUCAGACAAUUACUUUUGUAUCUUUCAUGCUUAUUUCUAAUGGCUAUUGCAUCACGUGUGAACGCCUUUCGGCGUCUGAGCGGCGAACCACAUCUGCUCUGGGGUAUUUCCUCUUAAAGCCGAGCUCUUGAAGCCUUCCGAUCAAAUGGAAAGACACAUAACUGACCUUAUUAAAAAGGUAUAUCGUCACUGUAUUGGUCCCCACAUUUUCUUCUCUUGUGGUGAAGGAUACAUAUUUCAUUAUUUAAUUCUUCUUCACAAAAGAUAGCGGAGUAAUAUAUCUUCCUUUAGUAUGAAAUUUUCUUGGUAGAAAGUAAAGAAAAUUGCUACUGUUAUAUCAAUUAUGCAUAACUAUUUUUGAUAUGGUAUUUUUAGAACAAGAUUCCAGAUUGACUGGGGGUUAAAUUCAGAGUCUACAAGAUGUAACAGGAUCUGAAUUUAAAAUGUUUAUGGACUUUUUAAAAAACCUGAACAUAUUUGGAGAGAAAGCUCCUCCCAAGCGAGUGCAAGAACUUAUUGAAAUCAUUGAAGGCCAAGCUGAUUUGGAUGCACAAUUCAAUGUGAGUAUUUUCUUUAUUAGGUAUUGUUUAGUAUAGUAUUUGUCUCUCUUUCUUUUUUUUGUGCUUUCACAAGGAAAUGAAGUUUUUAAGCACGAAGAUUACAUUAUGUUGCUGAUAUUGGAAGAAGCCAAUCCAUCUUUACAAUUUGUAAUCCAAGAUUUCAAAACCCGCAUCAUUCUCACGAGUAAACCAUAGAGCCCAACAACUAGCUUUCCCGAAUUUGCGUCCACAAGUGGAGAUGGGCCAUUUUAUAGACUUGAUUGUGUCUAGUAAUUGAAGUGGUAGGAAUAGGUGCUUUCCUAUUUAAGAAACCCACCCUUGACUUAAUGUGCUUUUAAUUUCUGGAUGGCUAUUGGAUGUGUUCUUUUUCUCUGAUAGAUUUUAUUAAUGACAAAUCACUCCAUGUAGGACCACAACAUCUCAUCUUCAACACCCUAAAAGACUUCAUGUUACGACAUUUUUUUGUUGCUCAGCAAUAUAAGAUUUUCAAUGGGACAAAUCCAAUGUUAGGAUUGUCUCUUGUUGGACGUCAGUGGAAGUAUAGUUGUCAAUUGCGUGUGAACAGUUCUCACUCCUUGGUCCUGAUUUUCCAUGGCUGUGUUUCAAUUCUAGUUUAUCAAUUGGCUUGUGAUCAGUAUUUUUUAUUUUUAUUUAAAUUUUGCUAAGUGAUGGAAUUUUAGAUUUCGUGGUAGAAUAGAAAUAUUUACGUGCAGGAGAAGUGUGCAUGGGCUUAUGAGUCUUGCCAUAUAGAGUGUACUUGGUUUCCAUGAGUAAGUCAAAGAAUAAAGAGCACCCACUGCAGCCUUUAUUCUUUUGUUUCACUGUGGUUAUCACCCCCUGGCUUAACUUGGUUCCCAGCAAUUAUACGUGAAUUAGUAAGUGAUGGUUCCCAGCAAUUGAGUUCUAAGUACCCCACAGAGAAUUUGGUGAGAUUUCUGAAAGCAAGGGAUAGGAAUGUCUCCAAUGCGUAUAAAAUGCUGAUUGAUUUCUCGAACUGGAGGAUACAAAAUGAAAUUGAUAACAUAUUGGCUAUUCAUACUCGAUCUGAGUUUUCUAAGGACAAGCUUUUCUGUGGCGAUCAUGAAGGUUGAAUUUACCCAUUGCAUUCAAAAGAUAGGUGCAAGUCAAAAAGAAAGUAACGGGAAGGAUUUUUUAGAACUAGCCAACCCAACAAUUUGAAGGCAACAAGUUGUAAAUUAUCUUCUUUUAUACAAUAAUUUUCUGUUGUUUAAGAGGAGUGUAAGAUGAUGUUUAUUUGAUGGGCAAUAUGUAAAUCAAAAUUUCUCCUCGAUUUAUUACAAUGAUGUGUUUUGACUA